rnacentral:rRNA from 1 species
AGAGUUUGAUCCUGGCUCAGGAUGAACGCUAGCGGCAGGCCUAACACAUGCAAGUCGAGGGGUAACAGGAAAGCUUGCUUUCGCUGACGACCGGCGCACGGGUGCGUAACGCGUAUGCAACCUACCUCAUACAGGAGGAUAGCCCUUGGAAACGAGGAUUAAUACUCCAUAGUAUCACGAAUUCGCAUGUUUUUGUGAUUAAAGUUUUUCGGUAUGAGAUGGGCAUGCGUCCCAUUAGCUAGUUGGUGAGGUAACGGCUCACCAAGGCGACGAUGGGUAGGGGGCCUGAGAGGGUGGUCCCCCACACUGGUACUGAGACACGGACCAGACUCCUACGGGAGGCAGCAGUGAGGAAUAUUGGUCAAUGGAGGCAACUCUGAACCAGCCAUGCCGCGUGAAGGAUGACGGCCCUAUGGGUUGUAAACUUCUUUUAUAUGGGAAGAAACUUAUCUACGUGUAGAUAACUGACGGUACCAUACGAAUAAGGAUCGGCUAACUCCGUGCCAGCAGCCGCGGUAAUACGGAGGAUCCAAGCGUUAUCCGGAUUCAUUGGGUUUAAAGGGUCCGUAGGCGGAUUUUUAAGUCAGUGGUGAAAGCCGACAGCUCAACUGUCGAACUGCCAUUGAUACUGGAGAUCUUGAGUACAAAUGAAGUAGGCGGAAUGAGUCAUGUAGCGGUGAAAUGCAUAGAUAUGACUCAGAACACCGAUUGCGAAGGCAGCUUACUAACAUGUAACUGACGCUGAGGGACGAAAGCGUGGGGAGCGAACAGGAUUAGAUACCCUGGUAGUCCACGCCGUAAACGAUCAUCACUCGCUGUUGGCGAUAUACUGUCAGCGGCCAAGCGAAAGUAUUAAGUGAUGCACCUGGGGAGUACGCCGGCAACGGUGAAACUCAAAGGAAUUGACGGGGGCCCGCACAAGCGGUGGAGCAUGUGGUUUAAUUCGAUGAUACGCGAGGAACCUUACCAGGGCUUAAAUGUAGUUUGACCGGUCUGGAAACAGACUUUCCCUUCGGGGCAGAUUACAAGGUGCUGCAUGGCUGUCGUCAGCUCGUG